rnacentral:rRNA from 1 species
UAUCUCUGUAGAGUCUGCAUAUCAAUAAGCGGAGGAAAAGAAACUAACAAGGAUUCCCUUAGUAACGGCGAGUGAAGCGGGAAGAGCUCAAAUUUGAAAUCUUCAAGGUUCUACCUUGACGAAUUGUAGUUUAAAGAAGUGUUUUCUGUUAGAUGAGUAGCAAAAGUUCUUUGGAAUAGGACAUCAUAGAGGGUGAGAAUCCCGUAUUUGACCAUUAUUUCCAGCUUUGUGAUACACUUUCAAAGAGUCGGAUUGUUUGGGAAUGCAGUCCAAAAUGGGUGGUAAAUUUCAUCUAAAGCUAAAUACUGGCGAGAGACCGAUAGCGAACAAGUACCGUGAGGGAAAGAUGAAAAGAACUUUGAAAAGAGAGUUAAACAGUACGUGAAAUUGUCAAAAGGGAAGCGUUUGACACCAGUGUUGUUUUCUCGAAAAUCAGUUAAAAAAGGCAGGAUUUUGUGUUGUAUUGACUUUAUCAGCUUUCUGCACUCUUUUCUUGUCUUUUUUUAAUGCACUUUUCGUUUAACAAGUCAACAUCAAUUUCUUUUGUUGUAAAAGGGUCAUUGGAAGGUGGCUUUCUUUUCGGAGAAAGUGUUUAUAGCCUUUGGCCUCUGCAAUCGGAGAGAUUGAGGUCUGCAGCGUAGAUCCUUCGGGGUUAGAUACAUUUGUGCUAAGUUAUAGCCUUUCAUAGACAACUUGUUGACUAUGAUCAGUCAUGUAGCUUACUCGCUUAUGCUAUUUUACCUACGCUUAGGAUGUUGAAGAUGUAGCACAUCAU